UUCCAGGCAGGGCCUCCAUGGGCCAUUGGCUGUGCCCAAGCCCCGCCUCGCUUCUCAUUGGCAGAGCCGCUCACCUCCUCCGUCUCAUCUGGCCGGGGCGGCCGCACUGCUGGCUGCAGCUCUUCCGCUCUGACCACGGAGGUGCCGGAGGAUGCCCGCUCACCAGCCCUCCAUCGAUAAGAUGAAGGGGCAUUUCUGCUUCUUUUUUUUGUUCUGUGGGAUAUUUUUGCCCAGAAUCCUUGGUUUCCCACAAACAAGUANNNNNNNNNNNNCAUACAUUAUUGCUGUAUCUUUUGAUAGCUUUGAACCAGGAAAUGAAAUCCAAGUGACUUUAGAAGCCCUUAAAGAGGCCAGCUUUAAAGGAUUUCAUCUACAAGCUCGAGAAGUGGAAGGAGAUGUUCCUGUUGGUACUUUUAAAAUUACAGAUCAAAACACAAAAGGCUUGGAUUGUCAUAACGUGACGAAUUCAGCUGUAAGUCAUGCAAAUUCAGAUGCGAAACAGAAAGUUACAACAACGUGGAUUGCACCACAUGAUAUUAGAGAUCUUCAGUUUAUCGCAACUGUUGUUCAAGAUCUAGAGAAAUUUUGGGUCGGAGUUCAAAGCAAAACCCUCACACCUACACAUUCUGAGUCAGUUAAUGGGACAGGAAGAAGUAAGAGGAAGAUUAUGAUAGAAAUAGAAUGUGCCAAGCGUGGAGGGACUUACACACCACAAAGUGGAUGCGUCCUAGUUGGACCCUCCGGUUCCUCUCGGAACAGCUAUACAAGUGGUCAGAGUGGAGUAGUCUACUCAAUAAGCAAGAGCGGAUGUGUCCCAGGAGGGACUGCUGAUGCAUACAGCAGACAUGCCUGCAAAGAUAGUGCAUCCUCAUAUAGACCUGGUCUUACCUAUGGCCAGUCUGUCCCUGCAAGCAGUUCAGAUUCCAGUAAGAAGGUAAGCACUCCUUUUCUUUUUAAUUCAAAGGGAAAAAAAAUCUUACAGAUGUAACUUGGC
rnacentral:lncRNA from 1 species